AUUGAACGCUGGCGGCAUGCUUUACACAUGCAAGUCGAACGGUAACAGGGAGCUUGCUCCGCUGACGAGUGGCGAACGGGUGAGUAAUAUAUCGGAACGUACCCAAGAGUGGGGGAUAACGUAGCGAAAGUUACGCUAAUACCGCAUACGAUCUAUGGAUGAAAGUGGGGGAUCGCAAGACCUCAUGCUCCUGGAGCGGCCGAUAUCUGAUUAGCUAGUUGGUGAGGUAAAGGCUCACCAAGGCGACGAUCAGUAGCUGGUCUGAGAGGACGACCAGCCACACUGGAACUGAGACACGGUCCAGACUCCUACGGGAGGCAGCAGUGGGGAAUUUUGGACAAUGGGCGCAAGCCUGAUCCAGCAAUGCCGCGUGAGUGAAGAAGGCCUUCGGGUUGUAAAGCUCUUUUGUCAGGGAAGGAACGGGAGUGGCUAAUAUCCAUUCCUAAUGACGGUACCUGAAGAAUAAGCACCGGCUAACUACGUGCCAGCAGCCGCCGUAA
rnacentral:rRNA from 1 species